GUGAUCUUCAGCACUGUACAUUUGUGCCUGUCUAUCAAUCCAACACCUAGUUUGAAAGCCUGCAUGUUAGUGUACCACAUUCUCCUGAAGAGACCAGGAAGAGGGCAUCAGAUCCCUUGGAACUGGAGUUACAGAUGGUUGAGAGCUGCUAUGUGGGUCCUCUUGAAGAGCAGCCAGUACUCUUGACCACUGAGCCACCUCAGCAGACCAUAAUGGCUGAGCAACAGCAAUCCCAAUCUGGAGCCAAAAACCUGGAGGGAUCCCAGAGAGCCACUGGUCUUCAGUCCAUGGCAGAAACCUGAAGCGCAGUUUCUAACACCAGCGAAAGAAUCAACAGCAGCAGAGGGAAGGGCAAGCCAUUACCAGCUUAAUAAUCAUUCUUCUCUUGUGUUUUUGUU
rnacentral:lncRNA from 1 species